GGGAAAAGAGGCUGGGCUAGAAAAGGGCUGGGCCAGCCUGGGGUGCUGCUGGAGCCAGCUGGGGCAGAGUCUGUUUAUUUGGUUUCUCAUUAACCAAAGGAAGUGCUUGGAUCAGAUCAGGCCUCUGCUAUUUGACUGCUUGCCCAGAGUGGGGCCCAGCCUGGGCCGAGGGUCUCUGACCAGGGCCAGCUCUCAGCAGAUUGGGGUCUCUGCCUGACCUCAGGUCAGGACCCCACCUGGCACUCUGAGCUGCAGAAGAUGCCCUGUGAAGGUGGCAGAGCCACCAUGGGAAGUGGUCCAUGUUGUGAACUACAAGAGUGUGAGUAGGGACUGAUAAUCAGCCAGCAUUCUGCUCAUCAACCUCUGCCUACUAAAGGAGCCCUCCACUAAUGGUACCAAGGUGCCGAGUGGGUGGGUGGGGCCUGGAGGAAGAGGGCUGGAAAUGACGACUUCUACAAGGCCUUCCCAAAUGAGAAACCUGGGUCCGUUCGCUGCAACACAUAUCUGGCCUCCACCCCAGAUGUGCAGCCGUCCCAGCAGCCAGAGGCCAGCUCACCCCACCCAGAUCGCCGGCCAGCUGCAGCCCCCUGUUUCCCAGGGAAGAGAACUAAUAAAG
rnacentral:lncRNA from 1 species